UUAAAUUGAAGAGUUUGAUCAUGGCUCAGAUUGAACGCUGGCGGCAGGCCUAACACAUGCAAGUCGAACGGUAACAGGAAACAGCUUGCUGUUUCGCUGACGAGUGGCGGACGGGUGAGUAAUGUCUGGGAAACUGCCUGAUGGAGGGGGAUAACUACUGGAAACGGUAGCUAAUACCGCAUAACGUCGCAAGACCAAAGAGGGGGACCUUCGGGCCUCUUGCCAUCGGAUGCGCCCAGAUGGGAUUAGCCAGUAGGUGGGGUAACGGAUCACCUAGGCGACGAUCCCUAGCUGGUCUGAGAGGAUGACCAGCCACACUGGAACUGAGACACGGUCCAGAC
rnacentral:rRNA from 1 species